AAUCUAUGGUGCGGGCAUUUUUGAAUCAUUCUCAUGCCUUAUAGAACCUUACUCCCUCUAUCCAUCUAAAAACAACAAUCUCUCUUCUUAGUUU
rfam:Gossypium raimondii chromosome 6, whole genome shotgun sequence.